GUAGGGAAUAUUGCGCAAUGGGGGAAACCCUGACGCAGCGACGCCGCGUGAGUGAUGAAGGCCUUCGGGUCGUAAAGCUCUGUUGCAGGGGAAUAAAAAAAUGAAGGUACCCUGUGAGGAAGGAUCGGCUAACUUCGUGCCAGCAGCCGCGGUAAGACGAGGGAUCCUAGCGUUGCUCGGAAUCAUUGGGCGUAAAGAGGGCGUAGGUGGCUUGGUAAGUCAGGUGUGAAAGCCCAGGGCUCAACCCUGGAAGUGCAUUUGAUACUGCUGAGCUUGAGUGUCGGAGAGGUUACCGGAAUACCUGGUGUAGUGGUGAAAUACGUAGAUAUCAGGUGGAACACCGGAGGCGAAGGCGGGUAACUGGACGAACACUGACACUGAGGCCCGAAAGCGUGGGGAUCGAACAGGAUUAGAAACCCCUGUAGUCC
rnacentral:rRNA from 1 species